ACGCUGGCGGCAGGCCUAACACAUGCAAGUCGAGCGGUAGAGAGAAGCUUGCUUCUCUUGAGAGCGGCGGACGGGUGAGUAAUGCCUAGGAAUCUGCCUGGUAGUGGGGGGUAACGUUCGGAAACGGACGCUAAUACCGCAUACGUCCUACGGGAGUAAGCAGGGGACCUUCGGGCCUUGCGCUAUCAGAUGAGCCUAGGUCGGAUUAGCUAGUUGGUGGGGUAAUGGCUCACCAAGGCGACGAUCCGUAACUGGUCUGAGAGGAUGAUCAGUCACACUGGAACUGAGACACGGUCCAGGCUCCUACGGGAGGCAGCAGUGGGGAAUAUUGGACAAUGGGCGAAAGCCUGAUCCAGCCAUGCCGCGUGUGUGAAGAAGGUCUUCGGAUUGUAAAGCACUUUAAGUUGGGAGGAAGGGCAGUUGCCUAAUACGUAACUGUUUUGACGUUACCGACAGAAUAAGCACCGGCUAACUCUGUGCCAGCAGCCGCGGUAAUACAGAGGGUGCAAGCGUUAAUCGGAAUUACUGGGCGUAAAGCGCGCGUAGGUGGUUUGUUAAGUUGGAUGUGAAAUCCCCGGGCUCAACCUGGGAACUGCAUUCAAAACUGACUGACUAGAGUAUGGUAGAGGGUGGUGGUAUUUCCUGUGUAGCGGUGAAAUGCGUAGAUAUAGGAAGGAACACCAGUGGCGAAGGCGACCACCUGGACUGAUACUGACACUGAGGUGCGAAAGCGUGGGGAGCAAAC
rnacentral:rRNA from 1 species